rnacentral:rRNA from 1 species
UGGGGAAUAUUGCACAAUGGGGGAAACCCUGAUGCAGCAACGCCGCGUGCGGGAUGACGGCCUUCGGGUUGUAAACCGCUUUCAGCCAUGACGAAGCUUUUGUGACGGUAGUGGCAGAAGAAGCACCGGCUAACUACGUGCCAGCAGCCGCGGUGAUACGUAGGGUGCGAGCGUUGUCCGGAAUUAUUGGGCGUAAAGAGCUUGUAGGCGGUUUGUCGCGUCGAAAGUGUAAACUCAGUGCUUAACGCUGAGCCUGCUUUCGAUACGGGCUGACUAGAGGAAGGUAGGGGAGGAUGGAAUUCCCGGUGGAGCGGUGGAAUGCGCAGAUAUCGGGAGGAACACCAGUGGCGAAGGCGGUUCUCUGGACCUUUCCUGACGCUGAGAAGCGAAAGCGUGGGUAGCAAACAGG